rnacentral:rRNA from 1 species
GACGAACGCUGGCGGCGUGCCUAACACAUGCAAGUCGAACGUGAAAAGGGGCAACCCUGAGUAAAGUGGCGUACGGGUGAGUAACGCGUAGGUAAUCUACCCCAAAAUCUGGAAUAACCUGCCGAAAGGCGGGCUAAUACUGGAUAGAGCGACGGAAUCCGUAAUUGGGUUUUUCGGGAAAGGGAGGGAGCAAUCCCCUUCGUUUUGGGAUGAGCCUGCGUCUCAUUAGCUAGUUGGUGGGGUAAUGGCCCACCAAGGCUUUGAUGGGUAGCUGGUC